GAUGAACGCUGGCGGCGUGCCUAAUACAUGCAAGUCGAGCGAACGGACGAGAAGCUUGCUUCUCUGAUGUUAGCGGCGGACGGGUGAGUAACACGUGGAUAACCUACCUAUAAGACUGGGAUAACUUCGGGAAACCGGAGCUAAUACCGGAUGAUAUUUUGAACCGCAUGGUUCAAAAGUGAAAGACGGUCUUGCUGUCACUUAUAGAUGGAUCCGCGCUGCAUUAGCUAGUUGGUAAGGUAACGGCUUACCAAGGCAACGAUGCAUAGCCGACCUGAGAGGGUGAUCGGCCACACUGGAACUGAGACACGGUCCAGACUCCUACGGGAGGCAGCAGUAGGGAAUCUUCCGCAAUGGGCGAAAGCCUGACGGAGCAACGCCGCGUGAGUGAUGAAGGUCUUCGGAUCGUAAAACUCUGUUAUUAGGGAAGAACAUAUGUGUAAGUAUCUGUGCACAUCUUGACGGUACCUAAUCAGAAAGCCCCGGCUAACUACGUG
rnacentral:rRNA from 1 species